UGCGUCAUCGUGGAAUGCGCCUGCGCGGACCCUGGAAGCCGCAGUCUCAGGCGAGCAGCUGCACCUGAGGUUCAUAAGAACGCCAAAGUACGUUCCUUCACCAACGCUGAGUUGGUCACCGCGCCAAGGCCCCCCGUACUGGGCGGGGCCUCGCUCAUUCGAGUAGCGUCACCUUCGCUUCCUGCUGCGCAGGACCGUUUCCGCUUCUUCUUCUGUGAGUUCCGGUGGAGGCGAGCGCUUCUCAGACGUCAGCUGCGCUCCAAUUGGCGUGCCGAGCCUGUGGAAUCGCUGCCAUGGUGAGUGCGUACGCCGGCCGAGGGACCGGGAAGCUGGAAACUCGGGGUUGCGUCCGCUCCCUAACCUGUUAGAUGGAAGCUUAGACCCUGCGCCGUCUCCUCCGCCGACGUUGGGUCUUAACCGCCCGGCCCUAACUUAGAACUCCAGCAGCGCGGGGUCCCAACAGUCUGGCCUGAGGUUAGAACCCAGGAAAUUUAAGGACCCCCGCUGCUGUGAUCGGAGAUGGUUUGCCGCACGGUCUGUGUGGCCGAAAGCUUGAGGCGCGCGGAGGGGACAUGACCCAGCCAGGGAGAAAGAGACCAACCCACGUGGGAGAGGGCAAAAAGUUGGGCGAAAACAAACUUGGUUCCAUCUUCCCUCCCCUUUUUUCUUUAUGAAAUCUACGAUGGUGGGGGGGAUCUGGGAUUCGGAUCAACCUCUCCUACCCAUCCUACCUCAUCCCACCUCUGUUGCUGGAGUUCAGGAGAAGCAGAUCUCCCGUGGGUCUGCGCCUAGUUCCCGCCGCGAGUUUUACACGUGCCAGAAACAUAGAGCUUUUGGUACUGGGGGGCUGAGGGGAACAUGAAAUGAGCCCGAACCACUGCCUGGAGCACAGGAAAGGCUUCUCCUGCAAGGCAGUGGCUUCCAAAGCCAGAAGCCCUGGUAGCACCACGUGCGGCUUCUCUAAACUCUUGGUGGUCUCCGAAUUUUAAACAUCUAGGGAGAGUUUUAAAACGUGUGUCCUGGCGUAGCUAGCUUCGGUUGGCAUUUGGUGAGGAGGGAAGGGUUUGCAAAGCCAUGUAACUUCUGUAGUUCAUCCUUCCAGCAGGGCUUGGAUCCCGGCGGUAGCACUCCCCAACACCUCCUCCCAUGCAUUGUAAAGCUUAGUACUUGGCUGAGCCUAGAACUUGAAGCUUCCAAACUCAGUGCUCCUCUUAACGUAGUUCGGUGAAACGUUUUCGAAUCGGAUGCUCUCAGGUUGAACUUUGCAGUUUUCCUCCACUGUAAAAUGGGGAUGACAAUGUAUGAGGAUGUUGUGAGGAGCAAAUGAAAUAAAGCAUGCUAAAUACCUAGUCCUCAUGCUUGGUAUGGAGUGAGCAUGCAGUAUUUGUUGUUCAAUCAAAACCGUGCAGGUUUUGACUGUCUGGUGUACUGGGAAACCAAACUGAUCAUUCUAGGUAGGGAUUUAGGUUGUCUGGCGGUAUGAUAUCAUUCAUUCAUUUUUUUAACCUGUGAAGAAAUUGAAAGGUGAAUAAAUAUACCCUAAACAAGUUUCAA